UACAGAGGAGCCAAGCGUUGUCCGGAUUGACUGGGCGUAAAGCGCACGCAGGCGGAUGCGCGCGUGGGGUGUGAAAUCUGGCCGCUUAACGGCCAGGCGCCAUCCCAUACUGCGCGUCUGGAGUGAUGCAGAGGUCGGUGGAAUUGCCGGUGUAGUGGUGAAAUGCGUAGAGAUCGGCAGGAACACCCGGGGGGAAACCAGCCGACUGGGCAUCUACUGACGCUGAUGUGCGAGAGCGUGGGGAGCGAACCGG
rnacentral:rRNA from 1 species